CUGGCGUACGCACUGUUCACAAUAUUAUUUGAAUCGCGAAUGGUUGCAUAACGCCUGUUAAUAAUAGGCCAAACAGUGUCUAGAAACAUUCAAAUACCUGGAUGGAACUAAAAUGAGUCAUAAAACCGUGGCAAUGGUAACAUUGUUUGUUGAGAAUAUGAGAAGCUCUGAAGUUGGUCUCAGCUUUAUGAAAUUAUUCAUCAUAGAUAAAUCAACCAUUGUCACGAUUGUCGGAACACUUAUAUCAUAUAUCAUCGUCGUAAUCCAAUUUAAACCGGGAUAAGAAGUGACUAGUUCAUGCAGAGAAAGAAAACCAGCCUGCUACUAUAUUUGGAAGAAUGAACUCAUUUACAUAUUAUAAAAGAAUGGAAUUGUUUUUCCAACACUUAUUGUUUUUAUUUGCUUUGAAGCCAGUGUUUCUGUUGACAUUAUCGAUGCAAAACUACGGACCCAUACAGGACAGGAUUUACCAAUUUGUGGGCCCUGGGUAAAACUCAGUAGUGGAGUCCCGAUACCUGUGGACCCUAGGCCAAUGGUCUAAUAUGCCUAUUUGAUAAAUCCGGCCCCGGACCGGUAGACUCUUUAUUUUUGACAUUUUUGAAGAUGGAGCUUUAUAGCCGUAAUUGGUCUAAGAAUAAGACAAACUUUGGAUUCCAAUUCUAUGAUUACACUAGCACAGGAACGACAUACAGCAUACAGGAACAUAAUGUAAUACACAAUGGCUCCAAUAUCACCUCUCUGGACGCUUUGUAAAAAUAAUUAUAACCAUAAUUCUUUUAACGGCGUAGUGAACCAUUUGCAAUUAUUCGUCGUGUAGCCAUGUUCAUAUGUGUAUAUUACAUGUAUUUGUAUGUGUGUUAUUGUCUCUCUAUA